UAACUUUCAACAACGGAUCUCUUGGCUCUCGCAUCGAUGAAGAACGCAGCGAAAUGCGAUAAGUAAUGUGAAUUGCAGAAUUCAGUGAAUCAUCGAAUCUUUGAACGCACCUUGCGCUCCUUGGUAUUCCGAGGAGCAUGCCUGUUUGAGUGUCAUGA
rnacentral:rRNA from 1 species